rnacentral:rRNA from 1 species
AUUGAACGCUGGCGGCAGGCCUAACACAUGCAAGUCGAGCGCCCCGCAAGGGGAGCGGCAGACGGGAGAGUAACACGUGGGAACGUACCCUUCAGUUCGGAACAACCCAGGGAAACUUGGGCUAAUACCGGAUACGUCCGUAAGGAGAAAGAUUUAUCGCUGAAGGAUCGGCCCGCGUCUGAUUAGCUAGUUGGUGAGGUAACGGCUCACCAAGGCGACGAUCAGUAGCUGGUCUGAGAGGAUGAUCAGCCUCACUGGGACUGAGACACGGCCCAGACUCCUACGGGAGGCAGCAGUGGGGAAUAUUGGACAAUGGGCGCAAGCCUGAUCCAGCCAUGCCGCGUGGGUGAGGAAGGCCCUAGGGUUGUAAAGCCCUUUCGGCGGGGAAGAUAAUGACGGUACCCGCAGAAGAAGCCCCGGCUAACUUCGUGCCAGCCGCCGCUGUAACAC